GCAGGCCCACUGCCCGCACCCCUCCUGGUGCUCUGCCCCAGCCGGGCCGAGCUGGACCGCUGGCUUUACCACCUGGAGAAGCAGACGGCCCUCCUCGGGGGGCCGCGGCGCUGCCACUCGGCACCCCCACAGGGGUCCUGCGGAGACGAACUCCCCUGGACUUUGCAGCGCCGUCUAACCCGGCUGCGGACGGCGUCAGGGCACGAACCCGGCGGCAGUGCUGUCUGUGCCUCGAGGGUCAAGCUGCAGCACCUGCCCGCACAGGAGCAGUGGGACCGGCUCUUGGUCCUGUACCCAACGUCCUUGGCCAUUUUCUCCGAGGAGCUGGACGGGCUUUGCUUCAAGGUGGGCCCCUCCCCACUGUGGGCCCGCCCCAGGGAGGCAGCUGUGUGGGGGUGGGAGGGGGCAGCCAUGCAGGAGGAACCUGUAUUUCGGGGCUUGUUGAGACAGAGCGCAGGGCCCUG
rnacentral:lncRNA from 1 species